CAGUCGCCGCGGUAAUACGUAGGUGGCAAGCGUUGUCCGGAAUUAUUGGGCGUAAAGGGCUCGCAGGCGGUUUCUUAAGUCUGAUGUGAAAGCCCCCGGCUCAACCGGGGAGGGUCAUUGGGAACUGGGAAACUUGAAUGCAGAAGAGGAGAGUGGAAUUCCACGUGUAGCGGUGAAAUGCGUAGAGAUGUGGAGGAACACCAGUGGCGAAGGCGACUCUCUGGUCUGUAACUGACGCUGAGGAGCGAAAGCGUGGGGAGCGAACAGGAUUAGAUACCCCUGUAGUCCCUGUCUCUUAUAC
rnacentral:rRNA from 1 species